AGUAAUCGUGGAUCAGCAUGCCACGGUGAAUACGUUCCCGGGCCUUGUACACACCGCCCGUCACACCAUGGGAGUCGGUAACACCCGAAGCCUGUAGUCUAACCGCAAGGAGGACGCAGUCGAAGGUGGGAUUGAUGACUGGGGUGAAGUCGUAACAAGGUAAC
rnacentral:rRNA from 1 species